GUACGGGGGAGGGCAAGCGUUGUUCGGAUUUACUGGGCGUAAAGGGCGCGUAGGCGGCCACCGCAAGUCGACUGUGAAAUCUCCGGGCUUAACCCGGAAAGGUCAGCCGAUACUGCGGGGCUAGAGUGCAGAAGGGGCAACUGGAAUUCUUGGUGUAGCGGUGAAAUGCGUAGAUAUCAAGAGGAACACCUGCGGCGAAGGCGGGUUGCUGGGCCGACACUGACGCUGAGGCGCGAAAGCCAGGGGAGCGAACGGG
rnacentral:rRNA from 1 species